ACGCUAGCUACAGGCUUAACACAUGCAAGUCGAGGGGCAUCAUGUCGGUUGCUUGCAACCGAUGAUGGCGACCGGCGCACGGGUGAGUAACGCGUAUCCAACCUUCCGCACACUAAGGGAUAACCCGUUGAAAGACGGCCUAAUACCUUAUGUCCUCCACGGCAGACAUCUAAUGUGGAGUAAAGAUUCAUCGGUGUGUGAUGGGGAUGCGUCUGAUUAGGCAGUUGGCGGGGUAACGGCCCACCAAACCGACGAUCAGUAGGGGUUCUGAGAGGAAGGUCCCCCACAUUGGAACUGAGACACGGUCCAAACUCCUACGGGAGGCAGCAGUGAGGAAUAUUGGUCAAUGGGCGAGAGCCUGAACCAGCCAAGUAGCGUGCAGGACGACGGCCCUAUGGGUUGUAAACUGCUUUUAUGCGGGGAUAAAACGCGGGACGUGUCCCGCCUUGCAGGUACCGCAUGAAUAAGGACCGGCUAAUUCCGUGCCAGCAGCCGCGGUAAUACGGAAGGUCCGGGCGUUAUC
rnacentral:rRNA from 1 species